rnacentral:rRNA from 1 species
CCUACGGGCGGCUGCAGUGGGGAAUAUUGGACAAUGGGGGGAACCCUGAUCCAGCCAUGCCGCGUGUGUGAAGAAGGCCCUCGGGUUGUAAAGCACUUUCAGUGAGGAAGAACGCCUGGUGGUUAAUACCCAUCAGGAAAGACAUCACUCACAGAAGAAGCACCGGCUAACUCCGUGCCAGCAGCCGCGGUAAUACGGAGGGUGCGAGCGUUAAUCGGAAUUACUGGGCGUAAAGCGCGCGUAGGUGGCUUGAUAAGCCGGUUGUGAAAGCCCCGGGCUCAACCUGGGAACGGCAUCCGGAACUGUCAAGCUAGAGUGCAGGAGAGGAAGGUAGAAUUCCCGGUGUAGCGGUGAAAUGCGUAGAGAUCGGGAGGAAUACCAGUGGCGAAGGCGGCCUUCUGGACUGCCACUGACACUGAGGUGCGAAAGCGUGGGUAGCAAACAGGAUUAGAUACCCGAGUAGUC